AUGCCCACGUGUCAGUGUGCGGAGGGCGUUUGAUGCCCACGUGUCAGUGUGCGGAGGGCGUUUGAUGCCCACGUGGCAGUGUGCGGAGGGCGUUUGAUGCCCACGUGGCAGUGUGCGGAGGGCGUUUGAUGCCCACGUGGCAGUGUGCGGAGGGCGUUUGAUGCCCACGGGCAGUGUGCGGAGGGCGUUUGAUGCCCACGGGCAGUGUGCGGAGGGCGUUUGAUGCCCACAUGGCAGUGUGCGGAGGGCGUUUGAUGCCCACAUGGCAGUGUGCGGAGGGCGUUUGAUGCCCACGGGCAGUGUGCGGAGGGCGUUUGAUGCCCACGGGCAGUGUGCGGAGGGCGUUUGAUGCCCACAUGUCAGUGUGCGGAGGGCGUUUGAUGCCCACGGGCAGUUGUGCGGAGGGUGUUUGAUGCCCACAUGUCAGUGUACAAGGGUGUUUGAUGCCCCAGAUCUUCCCCAAGGGCAGCCCUCCUCGCACCUGUGCUGCAUUCCUCCCCUUGGCAAUACCGUAAUUUAUUCAGCCUGCUCUCCUUUCAUACAGAACAUUUAAGUUCCUGAUUUUUUUUUCUAAUAAAAAUAAUACUUGGACUUUU